rnacentral:rRNA from 1 species
UACGGGGGGGGCAAGCGUUGUUCGGAAGUACUGGGCGUAAAGGGCUCGUAGGUGGCCAACUAAGUCAGACGUGAAAUCCCUCGGCUUAACCGGGGAACUGCGUCUGAUACUGGAUGGCUUGAGUUUGGGAGAGGGAUGCGGAAUUCCAGGUGUAGCGGUGAAAUGCGUAGAUAUCUGGAGGAACACCGGUGGCGAAGGCGGCAUCCUGGACCAACACUGACACUGAGGAGCGAAAGCCAGGGGAGCAAACGGG